rnacentral:rRNA from 1 species
CCGCCUGGGGAGUACGGCCGCAAGGUUAAAACUCAAAUGAAUUGACGGGGGCCCGCACAAGCGGUGGAGCAUGUGGUUUAAUUCGAUGCAACGCGAAGAACCUUACCUGGUCUUGACAUCCACGGAAGAAUUCAGAGAUGGAUUUGUGCCUUCGGGAACCGUGAGACAGGUGCUGCAUGGCUGUCGUCAGCUCGUGUUGUGAAAUGUUGGGUUAAGUCCCGCAACGAGCGCAACCCUUAUCCUUUGUUGCCAGCGAUUAGGUCGGGAACUCAAAGGAGACUGCCAGUGAUAAACUGGAGGAAGGUGGGGAUGACGUCAAGUCAUCAUGGCCCUUACGACCAGGGCUACACACGUGCUACAAUGGCGCAUACAAAGAGAAGCGACCUCGCGAGAGCAAGCGGACCUCAUAAAGUGCGUCGUAGUCCGGAUUGGAGUCUGCAACUCGACUCCAUGAAGUCGGAAUCGCUAGUAAUCGUGGAUCAGAAUGCCACGGUGAAUACGUUCCCGGGCCUUGUACACACCGCCCGUCACACCAUGGGAGUGGGUUGCAAAAGAAGUAGGUAGCUUAACCUUCGGGAGGGCGCUUACCACUUUGUGAUUCAUGACUGGGGUGAAGUCGUAACAAGGUAACCGUAGGGGAACCUGCGGUUGGAUCACCUCCUUACCUUAAAGAAGC